AUUUAAAUGACCAUAUAUGGCUAGUGGCUACCAUAUUAGCACAGGUUUAGAUCAUUUUAUAUAUACUAAACCCAUCAUUAAGUUAAAAUGAAACUAUGCCUAUGAGUCCAAAAACAGAAACUUAUCUCUAACAAUAAAAAUCCAUAUUACAAGUUGCAAUAGCUCUUUCCUUCUGAAAAGUACAUUUUUAGGAGACCUCAGUUAAGAAUCUUGAGGUUGAUUUUGUCCUUUUGUCUAGAUAUAAUAUUAAUUGACUUCCCAUGAAAUCCUAUACAUUUCUGCUGCCUGUAGUUCAACACUGUGGAUGAGGAAAGAGGGGAUUAAGAAACAGUGAGAAGGAAUUAGUGUGGAACUCUGCAUCUGCAGAGAUUUUAGGUUUUAAAAAGCUUCUUUCCUAAAGGUUUAUUUUCUGGUCAUUCUUGAAAAAAAAAAAAAAGUUCUUUCUACUCCACAGAGUUCCCGACCACAACUGCUCUACUGUACUUGAAAGAGCACUGUACUGAGGGCUCGAUAAGUGAUGACUAUUCCUGUUACCAGCAGUGCCACAGGGAGGAGUAAAUGAAAUAAUAUGCCAGGCUUAGCUCCUAGACCUCCCUAAACUGCGUCUGUGUCCUAGAGGGAGAACUGAAUUUGGAAACCACAUUCAACCCUAUGAAUUGUGAGAGCAGGCAACCUGCCUGUGUCUCUAAGCCCAGCCAUUCUUUACAGUCGAUCAGUUUUAAACUCUUCUGUGCUCCCUGCUCCCAGAUUUUUCUAUCACUUUUAGUCUCUCCAUGAAGCCCGUGUGGAACCUUGGCUCCAGUGUAAAUACAUAUCAAUAAAUACGCAUUCUCUUUCAGAGCAUUUUUUUCUUCCUCUGCCUCUCAUAAACUUGACUCUGACUUUCAAGGAUGCUACUUCCUGUGUUUCCUUGUUUGCUCAUUUUUCACUAGAAAGUUAUUAAGUAACUUUUAUUUUCCAUGUAUUAUGCUAGAUUAUGGCAAUACAAAGAAAAAGAAAGAAGAAAGAAAGAAAAGAAAGAAAAAAGAAAGAAAAGAAAACCAAUCCUUUCCAUUAUGCCCCCAAAACAUGAUAGUGCUUGAAGGAAAUGAAGGGGAAGUAUAUGGUUAAAAAUACAAGAUAUGGAAUGAGACAGACUGAAUUCAAAUUCUGAUUCCAGUACUUGCUAGCUGUGUGAGCUUGAAUGGUAAUAGGACUAUUUCAUAAAGUUGUUGUAAGAAUUGAAUGAGAUAGUUCAUGUAUGGCCAUGAGAAUGAUAACCAGCACACAACUAACCCUUACUGAGUGGUGAUAGUGCUUUUAUUGCAACUUUGAUUACUGCUUCUACCACAUUUUCUACAGCUGCUACCACUAUUUCUGUUAGUGUUACUAUCAUUAUCCUUUUCUCAAGGACCUCUGAUUUUUUAUUAGGAUAAAUAAUCAACUGCAAUAUACGAAUAUAAUAGCUUUAGUGGAGAUAUCGGCAGAGACAUUGGGAGUUUUGGAAGAGGAAGCAUCUAAAUCUGCCAGGGUGAGCUCAACAGGCUGCUCAAAGGAGGAAGCCAUUCGCUUCCUCUCAUUCCUAUAAACCCCAGGACACAGAGGCCACCAUUUUCCGACAGCAUUAUUGCCCGUUCCAGAUUAUUCCUUUUUUACUCCUGGGUAAAACUUUUUUUGUUUUCUGAGGUUCAUACUACCAUCUACCUUUCGUUAUUUGCCCUCAUUCAUACAGGACUUUGGCACUUGAAUUAGUCUUUCUUUCCUCCAUCAACCUCAGCUAUCCUAAUUGGUGACAACAUGUGUAAUGGUUGGAAGGGACAUGGGCUUUGGAAUCAGGAGACCUAACUGAAUUCCUGCUCUGCUGCUUAGUUAUGAAAUCUUUGGCAAACCUCUUAAUCUCUCUGAGCCUGUUUCUUUAUUUGCGGAAUGGUAAUAGUAACUACCCCUAAAGUCGUUUAAGGAUUAAAUGGCCUUGGUAAGGGCUCAAUGCAUGUUGAAUACUCCUAUGACCAACAAAGCCAUGGCAGCAGUUGGAUGGAAUAGUACAUGCUGGCACCUAGCACAGUUUUUUUUUUUUUUUCCUCCUGGAAUCCAGCGUUCUUCAUCUGAUUGCUACUUGAGACACUCCCCUGGCUGCUCUUAAAUAUAACCAUCACCCAGAACUAAUAGAGCUCUGAAGUUUUGAAUGGUAUUAUACCAUUUUCUUACCACAACCUAAUACUCUCUCAGAGUUUUUCUUAUGUUCACUACCUAUGUUCUUUAGACUUAUUAAGACUGCUAUUUAAAUUUGGAUAAACUUAUCGAAAUAUGCUUUCACUCCCCUUUUUCUUAGACUUAGAGGAAAAGAUCUCUCUUCUCCUGUCCUAGGCUAACUCUUAACACCUAUGCUUUUGAUUGAAAGUGUUUUUUUUUUCUUUUCCAAAAGCUUCUUUCAUCAUCUACUACAUUUUUUAACCUCCCCUUUAAUUUUCUUUAACUCUAAUGUGUUUUCUCUCUCUCAUACUUUGAAAGCCAAACUUCUAGAAAGAGUAGAUGACAGUAUAGGCCCUUCUUCUCCACCCUACCAUGAUAUUAUAAUCCUGAUUUCUUCCCACAUCACUGUCUAGAAACUUCUCUGGAAAAGUUCACCAGUGACCCCUCCAGUUGUGUUUUCUCAGUUCCCGUCAGACUUGAUUUCUCUAUAUUUAACACCAGUGACCACUCCCUUCUUAAAACAUUUCUUCAUGGCCUCAGUGAUACCACUGUCGCUUGGGUUGUUUCCUGCUCUGAACAUUUAUUUUUAUUCAUCCUACCCAGAUUCCACUAGAAAGAAGAAAAAAGAUGUAAACACACAAUGACAAAGAAGGAACAUUUCAGCAGAUUAGAGAUUUCAGCCAAUUUCUAGAGCUAGAAGCACUUGGAGAUUUGCACCUAAGUAGGCAGGUAGAAUAAAUAUAAACUUAAGAGUCUGGUAAAAUAAAUGCUGAUUUGUCCCUCACAGGCCCUAGAAAAUGUGAAAACUUCAAAAUAGGGUGGGGCACGGAGCUGAAAUAGUAUGUCUCAGUCAAGAAAGUAAAUCUUUCUUUUCUUCAGAAAUUUACUAAUCUGAGAAAAAUAGACAAGAUAGUAACAUUGUAAGUUUCCACCAUGAGGAGACACUUGUAUGAUCAUCCUGUAGAAAAACUUAUAUGUUGAAAAAGCUCUUCUGAUCAGUUUUGUAGUGCCUUUUUAAAUAUUGACUAGAUAAGUAAGGAUCACCAGAUAUUUGAGAAAAUAUUUCAGUAUAAAGAGAGGAACAAACAGGAAAAAAGGACCUGCUCAUUAAAAGAUGCCAUAGACAGAUAAUUUAUAAACCAGGUAUAGUAAAAUGUUAAUAGUAGAAUCUAGAUAGUGGUAUAUGGGUAUUCAUUCUAAGAUGCUUUUAACUUUAUUGAAUAUUUGAACAUUUUCUUCAUACAUUUUGAAGAAAAAGUAAAAGAAAUGUAAAAUAAAGUGGGAGAUUAAAAUGAGGAAAGAAAUCAAGAGAUCCACAAAUAUGAACAGACUUUAUGGUUCAUAGGUAGGAAGAUUCAACAUAGUAAGGACGUCAGUUUUCCCCAAAUUGAUAGUUAGGUUUAAUGCAAUUCUUAUCGAAAUCCCAGCAAGAUUUUUGUAAAUAUAGCAAAGAUUAUUUUUAAAUGUAUAUGGAAAAGCAAAGGAACUUGAAUCGCAAAAACAAUUUUUUAACAAACAAUAAAGUUGUAGGAAUCAUCCUACCAGAUUUCAAGACUUACUGUAUAGCUACAGUAUUCAAGACUGUGUGGUAUUGGCAGAGGGAAAGGCACAUAAAUCAAUGUAACAGAAUAGAGACCCCCAAAAAUAGCUCCCCCCUGCACACACACAAAUACAGUCAAUGGAUUUUUGGCAAAGUUGCAAAAGCAGUUCAAUGAAGGAAGAAUAGUCUUUUCAACAAUAUUUAAAACUAGUGUUCUGGAAAAGUCCCUUUAAAGGGAUGAAAAGAAGCUACGCACUGAGGGAAAAUAUUUGCAAACCACAUAUCUAGCAAAAGACUAGUAUCUAGAAUAUAUAAAGACCUUUCAAAAUUUAAUAGUUAUAAAACAGUUAAAAAACAAAACAAUCUAGUUAGAAAAUGGACAAAAGACAUGAACCUCCAUUUUACCAAGGAGGAUACACAAAUAGCAGAUAAACACACAAAAAGAUGUUUAGCAUCGUUAUCUAUUAGAGAAAUGCAAAUUAGGACCACAAUGAGAUAUCACUACAUAGCUAUCAGAUUGGCUGAAGUAAAACAUAGUGACAGCAUCAAAUGCCAAUGAGGAUGUGGAAAAACUGGAUUACUCAUACAUUGCUGAUGAGAUUAUAAAAUGGCGUAGCCAUUCUGGAAAAUGUUGGCAGUUUUACGAAACUAAACAUGCAACUACGAUACUAACGAGCAAUCGCACUCUUGGUCAUUGACCCCACCGAAGUGAAAACACUGUUCAUAGAAAAACCUCUACACUAAGGUUAACAGCAGCUUUAUUCAUAAUAGCCCAAAAGUGGAUACAACUCAGAAGUCUUCCAAUAGGUGAAUGGUUAAACAAACUAUGUACACCUAUACAAUGAAAUACUACUCCGAAUAAAAAGGAAUAAACUAUUGAUACAUCAACAACUUCACUGACUUUUCAGAGAAUUAUGCUGAGUUUAAAAGCCAAUCUGAAAAGGUUACGUCAUACCAUUUGUGUAACAUUAUUUAAAUGACAAAGUUAUAAAAAUAGAGAAUGGGUUAGUGGGUUAACAGGGAUUAAAUAUAGGAGAUUGAGGGUUGGAGUGAAAUGGGUAAGGCUAUAAAAGGGCAACAUGAAGGAUCGUUGUAGUAAUAAAUUGUUCUGUAUCUGGUCUGUAUCAGUGUCAGUAUCUUAGUUGUGAUGUUACACUAUAGUUUGCAAAAUAUUAUCAUUUUGGGAAAUGCGAUAAAGGUGCACAGGAUCUCUACCAACUGCAAGUAAACCUACAAUUAUCUCAAAAUAAAUAUUUCAUGUAAAGAUUGAUAAAUCAUUCAGCAGGCAAACAAAAAGACAAAUUUCAGGAGGAAAAAAGUAAGAAAAACUAACAGAUCAACUCAGAAGAUCUAACAUUUAAUUAUUAGGCAUUCCAGAGACAGAAAAAAGCAAAAACAAAUUUUCUCACACUGAAGGACCCAGAUCUCUUGAUUGUGAGGUCUCACCCAACACAGUAAAUGAAAAAUGCACACUGCUAGAGAAAUUAAAAACUUCUAACAGCAUCCAGAGGAAAAAAUCCAGAUCACAUUCAAAGCAACGAGAAUAAGCAUUUUUUUAAUCAGCCUAUUGAAAACUUAAGAAUAUGAAGAAGAAAACAGACAAACAAGUGGAAAAAAAUCAACUCAAACAAUAAGAAUAUGAAGAAGAAAACAGACAAACAAAUGAGAAAAAAUCAACUCAAACAAUACACUUCUCAACCAUUCUCACUAUUUGAGUGAGUUCUUCAGCAAAAGGUGGAAAUGAACUGAGAAGGUGCGGGAUCCAGGGAACAAGAGGUGUGGCAAAGGAGAGAAAUGACAUGAACACCCAAUGAGAGCCAAGGAAGUUCCAGGACAGAUCUGGAGAACAACAGCUCAGAUGAGACCAAGUAGACAGAGGGCUUUGGGAGGAGAUCACUGGAGGCUGAAGAGGAGGGAGGAAUAAGGGAUGGGCGUAUUUUCAGAUAUGUUUUAAUAUUUGAAAACUAACAAUGAUAAAAAUAAGAAUGUAAUAAAGAUAGACUGGCAGGUACUAGAAAAAUUAAGAAGGCUGGCAAGUACAUAGAAAAAGUAGCAAAAACAAGACAAGUAUCAACUUUAGGAGAAACAAAAAGAAAACCUUAGCAGCAGAAAGUAUUCAUGUAGUCAUAAUAAUGUCUGUAUUCACAAUUGAUUAAUUAAAAAGAUGCUAUAAUUGGAAAUAGAGGGUUGAGAGAUUAAAAAAAGAGCUAAGUCUAUGAUAAUAGAAAGUCAGUACUUCACAUCUAAAAUCAAUGAAUCACAAGCUAUUGGUAUAACCUUAUUCUUUAGAAAUAUAGCAUUAAAUACAAAACAAAAGGACUAAAAGAGUUGACAGUGGUUUCUCUCAACAGAGCUUAGGAGUCAGGAUAGAUGGAACAAGAAAUUGCUGUUUUUAAUCCUUUUAGUUUUUUUUCUUUUAAACUGUGUGGAUGCAUUUGAUUUAAGAAAAAUGUUUUUCUUUGAAUCAAGAAAAGGCACAAUCCAAAUCAGAGGGGAAAUAUCUUUGUCAAGCUGUCAGAGGAACUACAGUGAAUGAUUAAUUAAUUUGGUAAUUAAUCCAGAUGUUAUUGACUAAUACCAAUAAAUGUCCAUUCCCCCAUCACUGGUGGAAUCUGACCUGCCUAGGAGCAUCACUGUCACUAUCUUUGAGCUUGAGAAAUACUAUAUUAAUGCAUAGACAAGGCCUAUUAAUGAAGAGGCUGUUUGUUCCUGGUUUUAAUACCACAGAGGCUAGAGAAUGCAAAGAAGUCUUAGAGAGUCCCAGGACAUGUAAACCCUUUCUAGCCCCUUGCCCUUCUGCAGUGUGGUGUGGUGAAAACACCUUAUACAAGUAAGCUAACAUUCAAGCCCUCAUUUCUGUAUUUGGAACAUGAGCCUAACCUUGUAAGGAUUUUGUGAAGAUGGGAAAUAAACCAUGCCACGUGCUUAAUUAGUACAUAGAGGUACUCGGUAUUAUGGUUGUUGAAAUCAUAAAUAGCAUUAAUAGUAAUGUUAGUAUCAUUCCCUGUGAUUGUGGGCCUUUAGUGAUUGAUUUGCCAUAAUACCUCUCUCAAUUUCCUAGUCCUUGAUGUUUACAGUUAGUUUUUUUAUGCAGAAUACUGCCAGAGGACUGGGCGCAUAGCUAAUGAUAACAACUCCUGUGGAAAAGGUACUGCCAGAUACGUCAGUGUUAAGAGUCCCAGGGGCAGCUGAAGCAAAAUGGUCUGGGCUAGGCUAUGUGAGAAGGCAAGGUUUUGAUGAUGCAGUAACUUCUUUAUUUUUGAUGUUGUUGAACUUGUUCUCAGCCAGACUCUAAGUUGUUAUAACUGUGGAGGGAAUAGGUCCAAGGUACCUCAGCUGAUGCUGCAGAAUUCAUAUCAAGGGCUUUGUGUAUUGCUCCUGGGGGCAUAGCUAGACAAUGUAAUAUUCUUGUAUUUUUAACAUUUUUUUAUAACUCCAACAAUCAAAAGGUCAUAAUUUGUUGUAAUGAUGCUAUAAUUAAGUUGUGGUAAAUGAUAGCAUUUGUAGAUUUUAUAACCAGAAUUGAUUCAUAAAAUGAAUACAGUCCCAGCAGUUUAUGUUAACAUAAUUAAAUGGAAAUGUAAUUCUAACUCAGUUUGCUUAUUAAAUUGAAAAUUACCGGGUUAUGAGCACUUUUACAUUUCUGUCAAAAUUGGUCUAAGUCUAGAAUUCAAUGAAAUAUCCAUUAAAAUAAAGCAUAUUGAAGGCUCUGUUGCUGGUGACAAAUAAAUUCCUUAGAGCACGUGUGACUUGAUCAUGUGAGGGCAUGUGCUUUUAGUUAGGUUCCCUCUAACUGCCUUUCUCUUUCCUCUGCAGCCAUUGGUUUAGCCCUGGGGCUAGGACAGAGCAUGACCAGCAUCAGCUUCUGAGAGAUAAUCGAGCUGAAAGAGGACACAAGAAAAAUUGUUCUGUGAAAACAGCCAGCAGGCAAACAAGCAUGCAUUUAGGAUCCUUAUGCACGGGAGACAUCAAACGGAGAAGAAAAGCUGCACCUUUGCCUGGACCUACUACCGCAGGAUUUGUAGGUGAAAAUGCUCAGCCAAUCCUAGAAAAUAAUAUUGGAAACCGAAUGCUUCAGAAUAUGGGCUGGACACCUGGGUCAGGCCUUGGACGAGAUGGCAAGGGGAUCUCUGAGCCAAUUCAAGCCAUGCAGAGGCCAAAGGGAUUAGGACUUGGAUUUCCUCUACCAAAAAGUACUUCCGCAACUAAUACCCCCAAUGCAGGAAAAUCCGCCUAAGAAAAGCAAAGAAAAAAUGUUUUACAGACUUUAUUCAGUAUGUCCCAUUGUUCUAAAAUGAUAACAUGACUUCUGUUUUUGAAGCAAAAAUCUACAUUGCCUCAAACACAUCACUCUAGCUUCCUUACUGCAUACAGUCCUACCAUAGUGAGAGAAAUGGGAUUUCAUCACAAUUCAUGGUGCUAAAAUGAAAACCUCUGCCCUUUAAUUUUUUUCAGUAAUUUCCAGCUAUUUCUAGGUAUAAAGAGCAGCUCGUUUCUCUUAUUUAUUUUAAUCUCAUGUGUCAGUACUUUCUGAUGCUUUGCUUAAUUCAUGUAUGUGUGCAGUGCUGCAAUGCCCAGACAAAUGUGAGCACACCCACUGGUUUCUAAAAUGGGAUAGGCAGGAAAGGAUUGUGUUUUAUAUCAUCCCUAUCUAUUGUAACCCAAUAGACCUGCCAUCCCAUCAGGGAAGUCCGAACACAUCUUUGUUUGAAAGGCUUGUCAAUUUCACAUUCCUUGAAUUUGGCUUCUUUGUGAGGAUUUUCUGACAGAGUGAUACCCAUUAAUUUUCUAUCCUUAGACAAUGUAGUGUGAAGUUCACAGUUGACAAACAAUAAUUAAUGUUUCCCUUGGACAUUUUGACAAAAAUAAACCUCAUCAUUGUUAUCACCAGAGUGCCCUCGACAUUACUUUAAUGCAGAUUUUAUAAAUUUUACCUCAUUUAGAACAUAAAAUGAUUAUUGAAAGAAAAAUGUAUUUUUUAAAUUCACCAUGAUUGAACUGUAAAUUCUAUUAAUCCAGAUGUACUUCUACCUCUGUUUUCCCAAAGAUUGAUAUUUUUUUUUAAGAUCAACUCAAGUGUAGUAAAUGGAUUUAAAAUUUUAA